GGCGGCAUGCUUUACACAUGCAAGUCGAACGGUAACAGGUCUUCGGAUGCUGACGAGUGGCGAACGGGUGAGUAAUGCAUCGGAACGUGCCCAGGUCUGGGGGGAUAACGCAGCGAAAGCUGUGCUAAUACCGCAUACGAUCCUAUGGAUGAAANCGGGGGACCUUAGGGCCUCGCGCGAUUGGAGCGGCCGAUGUCAGAUUAGCUAGUUGGUGGGGUAAAGGCCCACCAAGGCGACGAUCUGUAGCUGGUCUGAGAGGACGACCAGCCACACUGGGACUGAGACACGGCCCAGACUCCUACGGGAGGCAGCAGUGGGGAAUUUUGGACAAUGGGCGCAAGCCUGAUCCAGCAAUGCCGCGUGCAGGACGAAGGCCUUCGGGUUGUAAACUGCUUUUGUACGGGAAGAAAUGUUACUACGUGUAGUAAUUUGACGGUACCGUAAGAAUAAGGAUCGGCUAACUUCGUG
rnacentral:rRNA from 1 species